rnacentral:lncRNA from 1 species
GCAGACGGGGAUGACGGGCCAGGACUCCAGCACUCCCACCGCGGCGCUCCGCAGGCCCAGGUCCUCCUCCUCUGGAGCAGGGACCUGCCCAGCCCCCAUCCCCUCCUAGAGCGAAGCCUGCAGACCUCGCAGAGGCGCUGCGGCCCAGAACCCAGGAGCCUCCCAGGCCUCCGUUGCUGGCUCUUACCUUGGGGGAGCAGGGAUGGGGUUAGAUGCUGGCCCCCUUACCUUGGGGGAGCAGGGAUGGGGUUAGAUGCUGGCCCUUACCUUGGGGGAGCAGGGGUGGGGUUAGAUGCUGGCCCUUACCUUGGGGGAGCAGGGAUGGGGUUAGAUACCUGGCUUAUGGGACUGACUUCCUUCUUGUGACCUGCACCUGUGCUCCCCAGCACGCCCUUCCCUCCACCUCAGAAGGCUCUGAUGGGGUCCCAGGAUGGUAAUGGAUCACCAUUGAUCACUUGCUGGCCAGAUACCAGGCACUGCUCGAAGUGUUUUACGGGGAUUAUGUUGUUUAACUUUCACAAUAUCUCUGUGUCCCGAGGGGAAGCGGAGGCACAUGGGACACACAAGAGUUGGUUGGUGAGAUAUUGGUGGAUCCAGCGUCCUGGGGACGGCCAGAGAUGAGAGGCGGCUUUCCCCCUGGAGUCUGCAUAAGCAGCUGCCUUCGCCCAGCCACCCAGGCCUGGGGCCUGCAGGAGGACAGAGCCCAGACAGGCCUCACCUUGCAGGCAUGUGUGGUCUUGAGCUCUGCCAGUGUGCUUGCAGGUGGGCCCCUGUGGACAGUGGAGCAGGGGACCUGGUCCUCUGGGGCUGGGGCCUCUCUGGUUAUGACAAGGACCUGGAGACCUGGUGGGACUCUGGAGGCCUUUGGGGGGUCUUCCCUCACCCCCGUCUGUCAGACCUUUCUCUGCAGGGCCUGACCUGUCUCCAGGUGGGCCUGGACUACCCCUGACACUUUGCUUCUCCAGACAUGGGCAGCAGGGUUGGGUGGAUUGCCUGAGUGUUGGAUAAUUUUCACAAUACUUGACUGGAAACCAAGGUGGCCCUCCCCUCCUUGAGGAGGGAUCUGCCCCCAGUUUUCUCGAGAAUAAGCCCACAAAGAAAUGCAGCCCUUCGGUGUUUGCUCUACAUAACGAUGCUAUUGGAUGUCAGUGACACAAAACAGAAGUGCUCCCAGUAGCACUGGCCCAGUGCCCCAAAUGAGAGCAUCUAGCAGAGGCUCCGCACACUGAACACAGCACAGCUUGUCCAGCAAGACCCAACACCACACGUGUCAUGGCACAGCAUGCCCGCUAUCAAAGUGCCCACCAGGGCCUGACAGACAAGCCCGUCUUCUUGACGCAAUUCAGGUCCAUGACAUGUGAUGUGGUGGAAUGAUUAGGAGCAAAACAGUUGUAAACAAAAGCCUGAUCUGUCCAUCAAAACUCAUCCGAUCGUUUUAUGGAAAUAGCUGAUACCAAUCAAGAUGACUUCAGGAAAAUGAAAAGUUUUGGAAACAAAUUAUCUGCAUGCUAUGGAAAAUUGUCAAAAAUUAA